rnacentral:rRNA from 1 species
UACGGGGGGGCAAGCGUUGUUCGGAAUUACUGGGCGUAAAGGGCUCGUAGGCGGCCAACUAAGUCAGACGUGAAAUCCCUCGGCUUAACCGGGGAACUGCAUCUGAUACUGGAUGGCUUGAGUUCGGGAGAGGGAUGCGGAAUUCCAGGUGUAGCGGUGAAAUGCGUAGAUAUCUGGAGGAACACCGGUGGCGAAGGCGGCAUCCUGGACCGACACUGACGCUGAGGAGCGAAAGCCAGGGGAGCAAACGGGAUUAAGAAAC